AACCACCUGAUCCCAUGCCGAACUCAGAAGUGAAAUGCAGCAGCGCCGAUGGUAGUGUGGGAGGUCCCAUGUGAGAGUAGGACAUCGCUAAGC
rnacentral:rRNA from 1 species